UUGAAGAGUUUGAUCAUGGCUCAGAUUGAACGCUGGCGGCAGGCCUAACACAUGCAAGUCGAGCGGUAGCACAGAGAGCUUGCUCUCGGGUGACGAGCGGCGGACGGGUGAGUAAUGUCUGGGAAACUGCCUGAUGGAGGGGGAUAACUACUGGAAACGGUAGCUAAUACCGCAUAACGUCGUAAGACCAAAGUGGGGGACCUUCGGGCCUCAUGCCAUCAGAUGUGCCCAGAUGGGAUUAGCUAGUAGGUGGGGUAACGGCUCACCUAGGCGACGAUCCCUAGCUGGUCUGAGAGGAUGACCAGCCACACUGGAACUGAGACACGGUCCAGACUCCUACGGGAGGCAGCAGUGGGGAAUAUUGCACAAUGGGCGCAAGCCUGAUGCAGCCAUGCCGCGUGUGUGAAGAAGGCCUUCGGGUUGUAAAGCACUUUCAGCGGGGAGGAAGGCGUUAAGGUUAAUAACCUUGGCGAUUGACGUUACCCGCAGAAGAAGCACCGGCUAACUCCGUGCCAGCAGCCGCGGUAAUACGGAGGGUGCAAGCGUUAAUCGGAAUUACUGGGCGUAAAGCGCACGCAGGCGGUCUGUCAAGUCGGAUGUGAAAUCCCCGGGCUCAACCUGGGAACUGCAUUCGAAACUGGCAGGCUAGAGUCUUGUAGAGGGGGGUAGAAUUCCAGGUGUAGCGGUGAAAUGCGUAGAGAUCUGGAGGAAUACCGGUGGCGAAGGCGGCCCCCUGGACAAAGACUGACGCUCAGGUGCGAAAGCGUGGGGAGCAAACAGGAUUAGAUACCCUGGUAGUCCACGCCGUAAACGAUGUCGAUUUGGAGGUUGUGCCCUUGAGGCGUGGCUUCCGGAGCUAACGCGUUAAAUCGACCGCCUGGGGAGUACGGCCGCAAGGUUAAAACUCAAAUGAAUUGACGGGGGCCCGCACAAGCGGUGGAGCAUGUGGUUUAAUUCGAUGCAACGCGAAGAACCUUACCUGGUCUUGACAUCCACAGAACUUAGCAGAGAUGCUUUGGUGCCUUCGGGAACUGUGAGACAGGUGCUGCAUGGCUGUCGUCAGCUCGUGUUGUGAAAUGUUGGGUUAAGUCCCGCAACGAGCGCAACCCUUAUCCUUUGUUGCCAGCGGUUAGGCCGGGAACUCAAAGGAGACUGCCAGUGAUAAACUGGAGGAAGGUGGGGAUGACGUCAAGUCAUCAUGGCCCUUACGACCAGGGCUACACACGUGCUACAAUGGCAUAUACAAAGAGAAGCGACCUCGCGAGAGCAAGCGGACCUCAUAAAGUAUGUCGUAGUCCGGAUUGGAGUCUGCAACUCGACUCCAUGAAGUCGGAAUCGCUAGUAAUCGUAGAUCAGAAUGCUACGGUGAAUACGUUCCCGGGCCUUGUACACACCGCCCGUCACACCAUGGGAGUGGGUUGCAAAAGAAGUAGGUAGCUUAACCUUCGGGAGGGCGCUUACCACUUUGUGAUUCAUGACUGGGGUGAAGUCGUAACAAGGUAACCGUAGGGGAACCUGCGGUUGGAUCACCUCCUU
rnacentral:rRNA from 1 species